rnacentral:rRNA from 1 species
UACGGAGGGGGCUAGCGUUGUUCGGAAUUACUGGGCGUAAAGCGCGCGUAGGCGGGCUGUUAAGUCGGGGGGGAAAUCCCGGGGCUCAACCCCGGAACUGCCUUCGAUACUGGUAGCCUAGAGGAAGGCAGAGGCUAGUGGAACGGCGAGUGUAGAGGUGAAAUUCGUAGAUAUUCGCCGGAACACCAGUGGCGAAGGCGACUGGCUGGGCCUUUUCUGACGCUGAGGUGCGAAAGCGUGGGGAGCAAACAGG